rnacentral:rRNA from 1 species
UGCGUAGGCGGAUUAGUAAGUUAGAGGUGAAAGCUCGGGGCUCAACUCCGGAACUGCCUCUGAUACUGCUGAUCUAGAGAGUAGAUGCGGUAGGCGGAAUGUAUGGUGUAGCGGUGAAAUGCUUAGAGAUCAUACAGAACACCGAUUGCGAAGGCAGCUUACCAAACUAUAUCUGACGUUGAGGCACGAAAGCGUGGGGAGCAAACAGGAUUAGAUACCCCCGUA